UAAGGAAUAUUGGGCAAUGGACGAAAGUCUGACCCAGCCAUGCCGCGUGAAGGAUUAAGGUCCUCUGGAUUGUAAACUUCUUUUCUCUGGGGCGAAAACCAGCUAUUCUUAGCUAUUUGACAGUACCAGAGGAAUAAGCACCGGCUAACUCCGUGCCAGCAGCCGCGGUAAUACGGAGGGUGCAAGCGUUAUCCGGAUUCACUGGGUUUAAAGGGUGCGUAGGUGGGCUAGUAAGUCAGUGGUGAAAUCCCCGAGCUUAACUUGGGAACUGCCGUUGAUACUAUUAGUCUUGAAUAUCGUGGAGGUAAGCGGAAUAUGUCAUGUAGCGGUGAAAUGCUUAGAUAUGACAUAGAACACCAAUUGCGAAGGCAGCUUGCUACACGGUCAUUGACACUGAGGCACGAAAGCGUGGGGAGCAAACAGG
rnacentral:rRNA from 1 species